AUGCAUCUAAUCAUUUCUGGUUUCAAGACAGUACUUACUGAGAAUUUGAUUUCCAUUCUGUCUCCACAGAUGCCGGUUUUAUGGUUCCAUGGGAUGGCAGAUGGGGUGGUACUAUUCGAAGCCGGGCAUGCUGGCUGCACGUUUCUCCAAGAGCUUGGCAUGGCCUGUGAAUCCAAGAGCCGGGCACGCUGGCUGCGCGUUUCUGCAAGACCAUCAUGA
rnacentral:rRNA from 1 species